rnacentral:misc_RNA from 1 species
AGCAGCCGCGGUAAUUCCAGCUCCAAUAGCGUAUAUUAAAGUUGCUGCAGUUAAAAAGCUCGUAGUUGAAUUUCGGGAUCAAUAUGUUGGUCGUGCCUCGGUACGUACUAGCUUAUUGGUUUCUCCCUUCUGACGAACCAUGAUGUCAUUUAUUUGGUGUUAUGGGAAAUCAGGACUGUUACUUUGAAAAAAUUAGAGUGUUUAAAGCAGGCUCACGCUUGAAUACAUUAGCGUGGAAUAAUGAAAUAGGACGUUUGAUUCUAUUUUGUUGGUUUCUAGGAUCGACGUAAUGAUUAAUAGGGAUAGUUGGGGGCAUUAGUAUUCAAUUGUCAGAGGUGAAAUUCUUGGAUUUAUUGAAGACUAACUACUGCGAAAGCAUUUGCCAAGGAUGUUUUCAUUAAUCAAGAACGAAAGUUAGGGGAUCGAAGACGAUCAGAUACCGUCGUAGUCUUAACCAUAAACUAUGCCGACUAG